AUAUGUUUUAUUUUGAAAAUUGAAUGCAGUUAUUUAAAAAUAAUAUUUUAUAAUAACAUAAGAAAAGUUUAGGCUAUCAUAACAACAAACAAAUUCACAGAUGGUCAAUCUAAGUUUUAUUUAUUUUUUGCACGCAAGUCUCAAUUUAUUGAAUGAUUUAUUAUAUAUGUAUACACAAUAUCUAAUAUAUUGAAAAUAUAAGUUUAAAGUGGCCAUAGGUUGUACUUAUAUGUGAACCUUUUUUUAGAAACCAUACUAUGAAUACAUCCGUUGAAUUAUUUAAGUUUUGAAUUCCCAAUACGUAUCAUGGAAAUCAUAACAUGUUUUGACAAAAACGAAUAACGAGUGAAAUUAUAGAAAACAUUUAGAGUGAAAAAUGCAUAAAUCACGUAAUGCAAUUUUCAUAUUUUACCCCGACUUAGUUUCUAAAGUCUUAUAAUUUCUAUGCAAAUACAAUACAAAAAAAUCAAAACAAGGUAAAAAAAAAUCUUGAAAAAUAAGAUCCAGUUAUAUCUGUUAUAAUAUAUUGUAAAAAAAAAUUCAUAUGGCUUAACUUCCUGAUAGAUGCUAGACUUUUUAAGAAAACUUAUCGUAUUAAAAACAUAU